rnacentral:lncRNA from 1 species
UUUAUACAAACUUCAAAGGUGUUUGUAUCCUGAUCUCAUAUGUAUUUUCUUGUGGUCUCAUAUUGUAUUUUCUUGUAAUGUUCUAUUGUAUUUUCUUGUAGACUCUUAUUAUAUAUUUCUUGUGGUCUCAUAUGGAAAUAUUAUUUCUUGUAGUCUCAUAUGGAAAUAUUAUUUCUGUAGUUUCAGUAGGAGGUGGUGUAUAAUCUUUUAUUUGUGUAAUCUUUGUUUGUGUAACUGUUGAGGGAUCCUGAUAUAGCAAAUCUCAAUAAAGUCAGCAUGGCAAUAUGAUAGCUAGCCCACAUAAAUGAGCAAAAAAGACCAAAUAACUGCUCCAAAACAAACUACAACCAAGGCAAAUAUAAGGGGUUUCUGUGUGUAAACCAAAACAUAGUCUCAGCAAAUCAUACUGGCUUAAAGCAGAAAGACAGUUAGAAUAAUAAUAAUAUUUAUUAAAAAAUCAUUUAAUUUUGGCCCUUGAGAAACACUCAGCAUACAAACGCAAUUUUGAGUUCCUGCCUGAGCAAGUCAGCUUGCAACCUUCAGUGUAAGGAAGAACCUGCCUGCCCGACAAUGCGCCAGCCGGGGAAUGUGAAGCGAGGGUUCUCCACUUAGGUGAUGAGACUAGGCGUCUCAUCGGCAGCCAGGUAGUGCAAGGGUCUGCCUGGGGGAUAGCCCAUGUACUCGUGAAGUAGCAGGGGUCUAUCAAACUGGCACUGGAAUAAAUUUGAUAAAAUUUGUCCCCGAAAUGCUUGGGGAUGAAUGAAAUUUUAGAAAUGACCAGUGAUAAAAUUCCAUUAAGGUCCAAAAACUCAGAUGGAAACAUAUGAGUGCCCCCAAGGAUUUAGGAGUUUGGAUUAUUCACCUUAAAUAAAGUCAUGAGAAAAAUAAAAAAAACAACAAUGAAAAUAUAUGUUACAUACUGAUUCAUAAUAAUGUUACUACAUGUAUUACUAAUGAUAUUUAGUAUUUAAAGAUUAGAAGUUAAUGAUAUAAAUUUCUUAACAAAACUGCA